CUGGCUCAGGACGAACGCUGGCGGCGUGCCUAAUACAUGCAAGUCGAACGCUUCUUUUUCCACCGGAGCUUGCUCCACCGGAAAAAGAGGAGUGGCGAACGGGUGAGUAACACGUGGGUAACCUGCCCAUCAGAAGGGGAUAACACUUGGAAACAGGUGCUAAUACCGUAUAACAAUCGAAACCGCAUGGUUUUGAUUUGAAAGGCGCUUUCGGGUGUCGCUGAUGGAUGGACCCGCGGUGCAUUAGCUAGUUGGUGAGGUAACGGCUCACCAAGGCGACGAUGCAUAGCCGACCUGAGAGGGUGAUCGGCCACAUUGGGACUGAGACACGGCCCAAACUCCUACGGGAGGCAGCAGUAGGGAAUCUUCGGCAAUGGACGAAAGUCUGACCGAGCAACGCCGCGUGAGUGAAGAAGGUUUUCGGAUCGUAAAACUCUGUUGUUAGAGAAGAACAAGGAUGAGAGUAACUGUUCAUCCCUUGACGGUAUCUAACCAGAAAGCCACGGCUAACUACGUGCCAGCAGCCGCGGUAAUACGUAGGUGGCAAGCGUUGUCCGGAUUUAUUGGGCGUAAAGCGAGCGCAGGCGGUUUCUUAAGUCUGAUGUGAAAGCCCCCGGCUCAACCGGGGAGGGUCAUUGGAAACUGGGAGACUUGAGUGCAGAAGAGGAGAGUGGAAUUCCAUGUGUAGCGGUGAAAUGCGUAGAUAUAUGGAGGAACACCAGUGGCGAAGGCGGCUCUCUGGUCUGUAACUGACGCUGAGGCUCGAAAGCGUGGGGAGCAAACAGGAUUAGAUACCCUGGUAGUCCACGCCGUAAACGAUGAGUGCUAAGUGUUGGAGGGUUUCCGCCCUUCAGUGCUGCAGCUAACGCAUUAAGCACUCCGCCUGGGGAGUACGACCGCAAGGUUGAAACUCAAAGGAAUUGACGGGGGCCCGCACAAGCGGUGGAGCAUGUGGUUUAAUUCGAAGCAACGCGAAGAACCUUACCAGGUCUUGACAUCCUUUGACCACUCUAGAGAUAGAGCUUCCCCUUCGGGGGCAAAGUGACAGGUGGUGCAUGGUUGUCGUCAGCUCGUGUCGUGAGAUGUUGGGUUAAGUCCCGCAACGAGCGCAACCCUUAUUGUUAGUUGCCAUCAUUUAGUUGGGCACUCUAGCAAGACUGCCGGUGACAAACCGGAGGAAGGUGGGGAUGACGUCAAAUCAUCAUGCCCCUUAUGACCUGGGCUACACACGUGCUACAAUGGGAAGUACAACGAGUCGCAAAGUCGCGAGGCUAAGCUAAUCUCUUAAAGCUUCUCUCAGUUCGGAUUGUAGGCUGCAACUCGCCUACAUGAAGCCGGAAUCGCUAGUAAUCGCGGAUCAGCACGCCGCGGUGAAUACGUUCCCGGGCCUUGCACACACCGCCCGUCA
rnacentral:rRNA from 1 species